AAUCAACGCUGGCGGCGUGCCUAACACAUGCAAGUCGAACGCGGUUAUCCAGCAAUGGAUAACUGAGUGGCGAACGGGUGAGUAACACGUGGGUGACCUACCUUCGAGUGGGGGAUAACGUCCCGAAAGGGACGCUAAUACCGCAUAACAUCCUGCCUUUGAACAGGCGGUGAUCAAAGCCGGGGACCGUAAGGCCCGGCGCUUGAUGAGGGGCUCGCGUCUGAUUAGCUAGUUGGUGAGGUAACGGCCCACCAAGGCGACGAUCAGUAUCCGGCCUGAGAGGGCGGACGGACACACUGGGACUGAGACACGGCCCAGACUCCUACGGGAGGCAGCAGUGGGGAAUUGUUCACAAUGGGCGCAAGCCUGAUGACGCAACGCCGCGUGGAGGAUGAAGGUCUUCGGAUUGUAAACUCCUGUUGCCCGGGACGAAAAGCUUUGACCUAACACGUCGGAGUCUGACGGUACCGGGUGAGGAAGCCC
rnacentral:rRNA from 1 species